UCUCCCUCCCUCUUUCGUUUUCUUUCGCCGCCGAGCCUUCUCCGACAAAAUUCGUCGCCAUCCGGCCAACCCAGGGGACGUUGUUCACCAUGGCAUGAUCCUCUCCUCCUCCUUUCCCUAUUCAUGUAAGUUUUUCACCUUGGGUAGCUUUGAUUUUGGAGAUUUGAAGAGAAAUUCCCAAAAAUGGGAAAUCGGAGAUUUGAUUCGAUCUCCGAUUUCCGGCCGGAUUCCUUUGGGGUUUUGGUUGCUGGUGAAGUGCUAAGCAUGUUUCCAACCUUGUUGCAGCUUGUUGUGGCCUAAGGAAGUGGGAUUGAUGAUGAACAGUGGUGAUGAACAGUAAUCAUCCGAUUUCUUGAUUUUGGAGUGAAAUUCUAGCUAUUUCUGCUUAGAAUUGGUUGUUGUUGCAGGUAUUUAAAUUGUUGGGCUUGUUGUGGAGAUUGUGUAGGUGAGAUUUGGUGGCCGGUUUUGGGUGUUGGAGUGGAGGACGUACUGAACCCUCAAGCGAGGAGGACACGGGCAGGCAGCAGGAUUAGCUGCGAGAUUCACCGAAAUGUGUUUACAGAAACGAGUUGGCAAGGAGGCUAUUUUGGGCGCAUGCGUACAUUACCUAGUCGGUAGUCCC